rnacentral:rRNA from 1 species
GACGAACGCUGGCAGCGUGCUUAACACAUGCAAGUCGAACGAUGAACCCGGAGCUUGCUCCGGCGGAUUAGUGGCGAACGGGUGAGUAACACGUGAGUAACCUGCCCUUGACUCUGGGAUAACUGCGGGAAACUGUAGCUAAUACCGGAUACGACCCUCGGCGGCAUCGCCAGGGGGUGGAAAGAAUUUCGGUCAAGGAUGGACUCGCGGCCUAUCAGCUAGUUGGUGAGGUAACGGCUCACCAAGGCGACGACGGGUAGCCGGCCUGAGAGGGUGACCGGCCACACUGGGACUGAGACACGGCCCAGACUCCUACGGGAGGCAGCAGUGGGGAAUAUUGCACAAUGGGCGCAAGCCUGAUGCAGCAACGCCGCGUGAGGGAUGACAGCCUUCGGGUUGUAAACCUCUUUUAGUAGGGAAGAAGCGAAAGUGACGGUACCUGCAGAAAAAGCACCGGCUAACUACGUGCCAGCCGCCGCGGUAA